rnacentral:tRNA from 1 species
GUAGGAAUAGUUUAAUUAAAAUAAUGAUUUGUGGCAUCAUAGAUUCACCCGUGAUUCUUACC